UACGAAGGGGGCUAGCGUUGUUCGGAUUUACUGGGCGUAAAGGGCGUGCAGGCGGUGCGGUAAGUUUAGAGUGACAGUCUUCGGCUUAACUGGAGAAGGCCUCUGAAAACUGCCGGACUUGAGGGCCAGAGAGGGACAUAGAAUUCCGGGUGGAGUGGUGAAAUGCGUAGAUAUCCGGAGGAAUACCAAAGGCGAAGGCAGUGUCCUGGCUGGCAUCUGACGCUGAGGCGCGAAAGCUAGGGGGAGCGAACAGG
rnacentral:rRNA from 1 species